rnacentral:rRNA from 1 species
GAUCCUGGCUCAGGACGAACGCUGGCGGCGCGCCUAACACAUACAAGUCGAACGGAGUUUACAGACGGAAGUUUUCGGAUGGAAGCUUGUAAACUUAGUGGCGGACGGGUGAGUAACACGUGAGCAACCUGCCUAUCAGAGGGGGAUAACGAUUGGAAACGAUCGCUAAUACCGCAUGACAUAGCGGAACCGCAUGGUUCUGUUAUCAAAGAUUUUAUCGCUGAUAGAUGGGCUCGCGUCCGAUUAGA